rnacentral:rRNA from 1 species
CAGUGCUGGAAUGCUAGGUGGUUUAAAGGUAACGCCCUUGGAUGGGUCUGCGGCGGAUUAGGUUGACGCCGGUGUAACGUACCGGCGUGCCUGUAAUCCGUACGGGUUGUGGGAGCAAGAGCCCGGAGAUGGAUUCUGAGACACGAAUCCAGGCCCUACGGGGCGCAGCAGGCGCGAAAACUCUACAAUGCAGGCAACUGCGAUAGGGGGACAUCGAGUGGCAUCCACCUUGGGUGCCUGUCCAACCGUCUAAAAACGGUUGUUAGCAAGGGCCGGGUAAGACCGGUGCCAGCCGCCGCGGUAAUACCGGCGGCUCGAGUGGUGGCCGAUAUUAUUGAGUCUAAAGGGUCCGUAGCCGGCUUUGCAAGUCCCCUGGGAAAUCCAGCGGCUUAACCGUUGGGCUUCCAUGGGAUACUACAUUGCUUGGGACUGGGAGAGGUAGGAGGUACUCGGGGGGUAGGGGUGAAAUCCUGUAAUCCUCCGGGGACCACCGGUGGCGAAGGCGUCCUACCAGAACAGGUCCGACGGUGAGGGACGAAAGCUAGGGGCACGAACCGGAUUAGAUACCCGGGUAGUCCUAGCCGUAAACGAUGCCCGCUAGGUGUCACGACGGUCGUGAAUCGUCGUGGUGCCGUAGGGAAGCCGCGAAGCGGGCCAC